GCUCCGUUGGUGAACCAGCGGAGGGAUCAUUACAGGACUCGCAAGACUCCUACAACCCUGUGAACUUAACUAUAAGCACGUUGCUUCGGCGGGUGUCUCGGAGGGGGUUCUCCCUCCCCGAGACGCUAAACCCGCCGGCAGCCUACUAUACUCUGUCUCUUUGCGUUGGCAUCUCGAGUACAAUCAAACAAGUUAAAACUUUCAACAACGGAUCUCUUGGUUCUGGCAUCGAUGAAGUACGCAGC
rnacentral:misc_RNA from 1 species